GUCGUAACAAGGUAGCCGUAUCGGAAGGUGCGGCUGGAUCACCUCCUUUCUAAGGAAUAAUACGGAAGACUACACAUCGUUUGCCUUUGUUCAGUUUUGAGAGGUCUACUCUCAAAGAUAAAUACCCGGGGCCUUAGCUCAGCUGGGAGAGCGCCUGCUUUGCACGCAGGAGGUCAGCGGUUCGAUCCCGCUAGGCUCCAUUAACGACAGAGGUCGUUAAGUUUGUUCAUUGAAAACUGGAUAUCGAAGAAAAUCAAAACAAGUAACACACACCGAGUUGACAAGUUAAAGAGUUUUUUAAUAAGUUCAACGCUUAUUUUCUUGAGCAACCUUCUAUCGCUAGAAGAAGUACUCACCGACCGUAAGGUCAAAGGUUAAGUGAAUAAGGGCGCACGGUGGAUGCCUUGGC
rnacentral:misc_RNA from 1 species